UACGUAGGGUGCAAGCGUUAAUCGGAAUUACUGGGCGUAAAGCGUGCGCAGGCGGUUCGCUAAGACAGAUGUGAAAUCCCCGGGCUUAACCUGGGAACUGCAUUUGUGACUGGCGGGCUAGAGUAUGGCAGAGGGGGGUAGAAUUCCACGUGUAGCAGUGAAAUGCGUAGAGAUGUGGAGGAAUACCGAUGGCGAAGGCAGCCCCCUGGGCCGUAACUGACG
rnacentral:rRNA from 1 species